GACAUUCGAUUGAUUGCUAGAUGCGGAAACUUUCUCUCCAACUAUCCAACUUGAGUUCCUGAUCAACCUUUGACAAUGCAGAUCAGCUGGCUUUCCAUACUUAUCCUUUCAGGAAUGAUCUUACUUUGUGAAGGAGAAAAAUUCUCAGAUACAUCAUGUCGGGUCAAGGGUGGAGCAUGUAUGAAGAAGAAGCUGUGUGGAGACUGGAAAGAACUUGGAAAAUGUGGGUUAACGGAAAGGUGCUGUAAGCCUGGUGGCAAUACCGGCGAAGAAUGAAUGAAAAUGAACAUCUGUGAACGCCUGUCAUUUGGAACCUAAAGGAAAUGCAUCACUGGCGUAUUGAGCUUAAUCUUCACAAAUCCACCAAUCAAGCCAUCCUUCUGCUUUAUAACAUUGGAAAUGAUUUGAAUAAAUACCUGCUUGAUUGCAA